rfam:Eubacterium sp. CAG:38 genomic scaffold, scf41
AAUACUUUUCAGGGUCAGGUGAAAUUCCUAACCGGUGGUAUAGCCCACGAGCCGCAAGGCAUGAUUCGGUGUAACUCCGAAGCCGACAGUACAGUCUGGAUGAAAGAAAAGGUCA